rnacentral:lncRNA from 1 species
AUGUUUACUGAAUCUAAAGUGAUGAGUGCAAUCUUCUAUUUCAUUGGCAGGUCUGGUGACCAGCUUUGAUGCCAUUGGUUACUCUGGAGGUACAUUUAUUAUAGUUAUCAGCAGCCAACAGUGGAACUCAAACAGUAAGAUGUCUAUCUGCAAGAAUAAGCCAGGAGAAAAUGACUGCAAAUAUGUAUCGUAUUCUAAUAUGCAAGAUGAUGCUGGAUAUCCUGGAAAGUUCUCAUUUUAUGAAGAUUCACAAGGGAACCUAAAAGGAUACACAAUACUGAUCAAAGACCUGGACCCUCAGGAUGAAGGGGAAUACACAUUUAGAGUAGAAACUGAGUAUUGGGAAAUAAACCUAGUUCUGAAAAAUCCUUGUUGUGUGAAGUCAGAAAGAGUGACUGGGCAUCUGAAUGGGAAUGUUGUCAUUCGUUGUGACUAUCCAGAGGAGCAUAAAGAAAAAUGGAAAUACUUAUACAAGCUGAAAGAUCACAGAGUUGAAACAGUCAUUUACAGCAAUUCCAAGUAUAAAAAAUACGAGAAGGACAGAUUUUACAUUGUAGAUGAUACCUUUUCAAAUAUGUUCACUAUACGUAUCAGUAAUGUGAAUAGUGAAGAUGGAGGAGUUUAUUACUGUGGUGUACGGACUGGUGAAUACCCAUUUUACAGCCUCGCUACAAUCAAAACUGUCUACCUCCACACUACUGGUGAGAACAACCUUUCUGGACAAUGUUCAUCAAUUCAUUAUAACAGAAUUCAAUAUUAC